rnacentral:rRNA from 1 species
GACGAACGCUGGCGGCGUGCCUAAUACAUGCAAGUAGAACGCACAGUUUAUACCGUAGCUUGCUACACCAUAGACUGUGAGUUGCGAACGGGUGAGUAACGCGUAGGUAACCUGCCUGGUAGCGGGGGAUAACUAUUGGAAACGAUAGCUAAUACCGCAUAAUAUUGAUUAUUGCAUGAUAAUUGAUUGAAAGAUGCUAUUGCAUCACUACCAGAUGGACCUGCGUUGUAUUAGCUAGUAGGUGAGGUAACGGCUCACCUAGGCGACGAUACAUAGCCGACCUGAGAGGAUGAUCGGCCACACUGGGACGGAGACACGGCCCAUACGCCUACGGGAGGCAGCAGUAGGGAAUCUUCGGCAAUGGACGAAAGUCUGACCGAGCAACGCCGAGGGAGUGAAGAAGGUUUUCGGAUCGGAAAGCUCUGUUGUAAGGGAAGAACGGGUGUGAGAGUGGAAAGUUCACACUGUGACGGUAUCUUACCAGAAAGGGACGGCUAACUACGUG